CUUAUUCACUGUUGCUCUUAAGUCGCUUUGGAUAAAAGCGUCUGCUAAAUGACUAAAU
rfam:Danio rerio chromosome 15, GRCz11 reference primary assembly.